rnacentral:rRNA from 1 species
CUUCGGUAGUGGCGGCGGGUGAGUAACACGUGGGAACGUGCCUUUAGGUUCGGAAUAGCUCCUGGAAACGGGUGGUAAUGCCGAAUGUGCCCUUCGGGGGAAAGAUUUAUCGCCUUUAGAGCGGCCCGCGUCUGAUUAGCUUGUUGGUGGGGUAAUGGCCCACCAAGGCUACGAUCAGUAGCUGGUCUGAGAGGAUGACCAGCCACAUUGGGACUGAGACACGGCCCAAACUCCUACGGGAGGCAGCAGUGGGGAAUCUUGCGCAAUGGGCGAAAGCCUGACGCAGCCAUGCCGCGUGUAUGAUGAAGGUCUUAGGAUUGUAAAAUACUUUCACCGGUGAAGAUAAUGACUGUAGCCGGAGAAGAAGCCCCGGCUAACUUCGUGCCAGCAGCCGCGGUAAUACGAAGGGGGCUAGCGUUGCUCGGAAUUACUGGGCGUAAAGGGAGCGUAGGCGGACAUUUAAGUCAGAGGUGAAAUCCCGGAGCUUAACUUCGGAACUGCCUUUGAUACUGGGUGUCUUGAGUGUGAGAGAGGUAUGUGGAACUCCGAGUGUAGAGGUGAAAUUCGUAGAUAUUCGGAAGAACACCAGUGGCGAAGGCGACAUACUGGCUCAUUACUGACGCUGAGGCUCGAAAGCGUGG